GCCUCCUGGCUCGACUGAAGUACCGUGCCAGUUAAGAGAAGGUAAAUUUGUAGCAUUAGAGCACUGGCAACUUCAUGUGCAAAGGGAAAAAGGAACUGCAAUAUGAACACCAGUAUUUCCUUCCUCACGCACCCUGAAAAUGAGGAAGACAAACAACAUGCAUGGAAAAACAAAGUAGACAAACAGCAUUUACAGCUAUAAUGUCAGAACGCUGUCCUCCUUGCGUGCAACAAAAAUUCUGACUUCCACGGAUAAAAGUCUUCUUUAAAAGAAAGGGUUUAUUAGGCCACGGCUAGCAAGAAAAAGAAGACAGGUCCUGGGGCGUGGCGCCUACGCCACCAGCAUCCGUUCUGGAGUUGGCAAGAGUUUUCACACAACACGUCCUUUAAAUUGCAUGGAUCGGUUUAAACAACACCAAAAGAGUAAACAAAAAUGCACAAACAAGAAAGGUAAUUUAAGCAUGCAGCAUAGCUCCACUGUGCCAUAGCAAGGACAGAAGUCUGCCACCUGCUGACAAAAGUGAUAAUUGUACAGGCUUCCCGGAUUGACAUUUCAGGUAAGGUUCAUGACACUAGAUUUCAAAUUAAUUAUUAUAUCAAAGACGUAAAUUACAGCCUCUAAUUUAAAAGAGAAUAAAGGUGAAAAGGAUUCAAGAUUACAUACAUGCUUCUUUUCACAAAAAAUAUUCCUUGAUCAUUUAUUUAAUCCUCAGCUGAGGACAUGCUUAUGGCUU